AAGUCGUAACAAGGUUUCCGUAGGUGAACCUGCGGAAGGAUCCCGUGAACCUUUAUUGUGGCACGCCUAUCCGUUAGAAAGUGGCAAUCCCUGGUAAAUCAUCGCCGAACAGUUUUGAUUCAGGGACUUCUGCGGGUAGGACAACUGGGCGAGCAAGUGACCUGGCACUCUGCUUGUUAGUGUCUGAAAGUGUCACAAUGCAUGAAAACGGGCCUGCGCUUAAUUGUGCGGCCACCAAACUCGAACAACUGUUAACAAUGGAUAUCUUGGUUCUC
rnacentral:misc_RNA from 1 species